UAGACUUUUCGGCAGGCUACCAUGCAGUCGAGCGGAUGACGGGAGCUUGCUCCUUGAUUCAGCGGCGGACGGGUGAGUAAUGCCUAGGAAUCUGCCUGGUAGUGGGGGACAACGUUUCGAAAGGAACGCUAAUACCGCAUACGUCCUACGGGAAGAAACGCAGGGGACCUUUUCGGGCCCUUGCGCUUAUUCAAGAUGAGCCUAGGUUCGGAAUUAGCUAGUUGGGUGGGGUAAUGUGCUCACACAAGGGGCGACGAUCCGUAAACUGGUCUGGAGAGGGAUGAUCCAGUCACACCUGGAAACUGAGACCACGGUCCCAGACUUCCUACCGGGAGGCAGCCAGUGGGGAAUAUUGGGACAAUGGGCGGAAAGCCUGAUCCCAGCCAUGCCGCGUGUGUGAAGAAGGUCUUUCGGAUUGUAAAGCACUUUAAGUUGGGAGGAAGGGCAGUAAGCUAAUACCUUGCUGUUUUGACGUUACCGACAGAAUAAGCACCGGCUAACUCUGUGCCAGCAGCCGCGGUAAUACAGAGGGUGCAAGCGUUAAUCGGAAUUACUGGGCGUAAAGCGCGCGUAGGUGGUUCGUUAAGUUGGAUGUGAAAGCCCCGGGCUCAACCUGGGAACUGCAUCCAAAACUGGCGAGCUAGAGUACGGUAGAGGGUGGUGGAAUUUCCUGUGUAGCGGUGAAAUGCGUAGAUAUAGGAAGGAACACCAGUGGCGAAGGCGACCACCUGGACUGAUACUGACACUGAGGUGCGAAAGCGUGGGGAGCAAACAGGAUUAGAUACCCUGGUAGUCCACGCCGUAAACGAUGUCAACUAGCCGUUGGAAUCCUUGAGAUUUUAGUGGCGCAGCUAACGCAUUAAGUUGACCGCCUGGGGGAGUACGGCCGCAAGGUUAAAACUCAAAUGAAUUGACGGGGGGCCCGCACAAGCGGUGGAGCAUGUGGGUUUAAUUCGAAGCAACGCGAAGAAACCUUACCAGGGCCUUGACAUGCAAAAGAACUUUUCCAGAAAAUGGAAUUGGUUGCCUUUCCGGGAACUCUGAACACAGGGUGCCUGCAUGGGCUGUCCGUCCGCUUCGUGUCCGUGAAAAUGUUGGGGUUUAAGUCCCCGUAACCGAAGCGGCAACCCCUUGGUCCCUUAGUUUACCCAGCCACGUUUAUGGGUGGGCCACUCUAAGGAGACUGCCGGUGACAAACCGGAGGAAGGUGGGGAUGACGUCAAGUCAUCAUGGCCCUUACGGCCUGGGCUACACACGUGCUACAAUGGUCGGUACAGAGGGUUGCCAAGCCGCGAGGUGGAGCUAAUCUCACAAAACCGAUCGUAGUCCGGAUCGCAGUCUGCAACUCGACUGCGUGAAGUCGGAAUCGCUAGUAAUCGCGAAUCAGAAUGUCGCGGUGAAUACGUUCCCGGGCCUUGUACACACCGCCCGUCACACCAUGGGAGUGGGUUGCACCAGAAGUAGCUAGUCUAACCUUCGGAGGACGGUACCACGGUGGAUCAGACCG
rnacentral:rRNA from 1 species